rnacentral:rRNA from 1 species
CCUACGGGGGGCAGCAGUGGGGAAUAUUGCACAAUGGGGGAAACCCUGAUGCAGCGACGCCGCGUGAGUGAAGAAGUAUCUCGGUACGUAAAGCUCUAUCAGCAGGGAAGAAAAUGACGGUACCUGACUAAGAAGCCCCGGCUAACUACGGGCCAGCAGCCGCGGUAAUACGUAGGGGGCAAGCGUUAUCCGGAUUUACUGGGUGUAAAGGGAGCGUAGACGGCAGCACAAGUCUGGAGUGAAAUCCCGGGGCUUACCCCCGGAACUGCUUUGGAAACUGGCCGGCUGGAGUGCAGGAGGGGUCAGCGGAAUUCCUAGUGUAGCGGUGAAAUGCGUAGAUAUUAGGAGGAGCACCGGUGGCGAAGGCGGCUUACUGGACUGUACCUGACGUUGAGGCGCGACCGCGUGGGGAGCAAACAGGAUUAGAUACCCCAGUAGUC